AUGAUGAGGAUGAAUUUGUGCCCAGUAUAUGAGAGAAAGAAACAGAUUGGAGUAAGUCCACGGGUAUCUUUAUUAAUGUUUUGUUCUCUUUCCUUGCAGGAGAACCAUGUCAAUGACAAGCUGGUACCUCAUAGUUUGCUUCAGAAAGACUUUGUGCCUUUCCUGUUGAAUUUUUUAAGGGAACAGACUAGUCAGAUCUUGACCAAUGGGCCCUCUACCCCUGCUAAAACCCCAAAUUCUAAGGUCCUCAGGAGCUCAGCUAGCCAUGGGAGCCAAAAGACAGGGUCAGAAAGGAGGGCAGGCAACUCAGCAGGAUCAUGCAGCAGCCGAAUGCAACUCUUUUCCCAGAGGACCCCAGCUAGCUCCUGUACCCCAGAUGCUAGUUUUCCCUCCUCUGCUGCAUCAUGUGGCUCUUCUGCCUUUACUGGGUCAAGCUUAUCUCGCCCCGGCAGUGAUUUCCCCAGCACCAGCCCAAGCUUUGGUUGCAGCCCUGUGCUCAACCACAGCGAGAAACGUUCAUCUCAGAAGGCCAAUUUGGGCAGCUUCCUUAUGCCCACACCAGAUGUCCAGCCAGUGAGGCGAGGCAGAAGAAAAGGCAACAAUUCUGCCAGUGCCGCUGGCCGGCAAGUGGCUCGGGACAUAGGGCGAAGCCUCACUGAAGAGGAGGAUGGGAAGGGUGACAGCGCAUCGUUGAGUGGCGGGAGGAGGAAACGGAGUGAGGUGGGUCCUACCUCAGCCAGUUCCCCACCUGAUCAGCUGAACCUCAACAACUUGGAGGAGUUCCCACCAAUGAGUGUUGCUUCUGGCUUGACAAACAAAAGCAAGCCAUCAAGACGAAUCAACCCAACUCCAGUGAGUUCUGAGCGCUCCCACUCAAAACCUAAGAUGUGUUUUACUUCCACGCCAGUCAGCCAGUCUCCAGCGGCUCGGUUUCCAUCUGGGACCAGUCUUGAGACCUUUGCUGCCAUCCAGGAAGGGAAUGUUACCUCCAUAACAGGGAGCAGCCUUCAAGAGGAGAGGGAGAUGCUGAAGAAAGAACGAUGCAAGUUGCUGCACCAAACAUCAUCUCCUGCAGGCCUGUCUCUGGAUCCCAGUACACCUACCAAGCCUAAUUACAGUUGGAAUGGAAGCCUCACUACUGAUAGUCAGGUAGUGACCUGUGCAGAUCUCAGUAAAGUUUCCUGCAAGAAACAGCUGGAACAGCUGGCUCAGCUCUAUUCAACUUGUAUAGCAGAAAAUCUGGUUCCAAAUAUUUUCCUGGAGCUCUUCUUUGUCCUGCAGCUGCUAACGUCCAAGGGAACAACUUCUUCGGAAGAUGGUGAGAAUGACCUGGAAUUCAAUCAAGAAUGUAAAGAUGCAGUAGAGCGGCAGCAUUUUCAAAAUGUACACAACUGUGUUUAUUUCGCUGUGCAGGUUUUGGAUUGUCAGUUUGAAAUUAUUUCUCAUUUAGAAAGGGGGACAUUGAAACUUUUGGCUGAGAAUGAGCGGAUUGCAUCCUUUUCCCCUGGCUUGCAUGCGAGGCUUAUGAAAGCUUAUGAAAGCAGCACAGCCAAGGUGUCCCUCCUGCUGCCUUCAUCUGUCCAGUCCGUUUCUUUCCAGCCAGAAACGGACAAUCGUUCUAACUUUCCAAGUGACAGGGCUUUUCAUAUAUUUAAGAAGCAAAGGGACAUCUUUUAUGAAUUGCUGCGUGAGUGGGAGGAUAACCAUGAAAAACCAGGCUGGGACUUUGAAAGAGUUCUGGGCAACAAGAUCAGGGCUAUGAUGAAUCACCUCACAGCAGCCUAUAAUCACAGCCACUUUGCCAGGCUCUUUCAGAAACAGCUUAUCCAGAUGUGUAAAGGUCCUAUUGGUGGUGGCACAAGUUGGGGAGAUACCCCAGACCAGGAUGUCCUUAAUAUGCUGGGUUCCGAUAACCUGAGCCGGCUGAAGAGGCUACAGGAGAGAUUUGUCGUUCCUCAGAGCAUCAGAGGGCCCUGCCCGCCCCCUGCCUUCCCAGGGUGCCAGCAGUUCUUCAGGGACUUCAUUCUCAGUGCAGGAAGCUACCAGUUCAACCAACACCUGAUGGAUAGCCUGUGUCUAAAGAUACUCGAGCUGGAUGGCCUUACUUUGGUAGAGCAUGAACCUAGUGAUGGGGAGGCAGAUAUGGAUGAACAGGAUGAAAAAAAGCGUUUCACUGCGGCCCUUAUGACUCUCCGACUCCUGGCAAAGUUUCUAGGAUUUCUUGUUUUCCUGCCAUACCAAACAGUCGAACCACCAAGCAGAGACUUGCAGGAGUCUGCGGUGACAUUAAGGAACCAAACCCUGCCUGUACUGGAUGUAUUGAAGCUCCUGAGACGAUCUAUCUUGAACCGACGUACUAUCCUUACCGUUCCUUGGAUUGUGGAGUUCCUUUCCCUUGUGGACCAUUUUGCUCCAUUCCUUGACUACUAUGGGAGGGUGUUUUCCCUCCUACUGCAGCUGUACAGGUGCCUGGUUCUUUCUGAAGAUAAGGAGAUGAGUUUCCUAAACAAGCUACUGAUACUUGCCGUGCUGGGCUGGCUUUUUCAGGUCCCCUCGGUCCCAGAGGAGUUGUUCUUCACCAGUAAAGUCAAACAGGAGGGGUUGAUGACGGACACUAUGACAUCUGCUCAGGCUUUGGAUUCUGUGCCUUUGGUGGAUCAGCAGUUACUUUAUACCUGCUGUCCCUUCCUUGGUGAACUACGGAAGCUGCUGGCUUCCUUUGUGGCUGGCAGUGGAGCAAAGAAUGGUGGCUUUAUAAGGAAAAUAACCCCAACUGCUGCAGAGUCCUUGACACCUAAACCUUCUGUCACACAGCAGAAAUUGCAGGUGGAGCUGGAGCAGGCCUUCUUCCACAACCAGCCUCCAUCCCUGCGGAGAACAGUGGAAUUUGUGGCAGAGAGGGUGGGAUCCAACUGUGUUAAGCAUAUCAAGGCAACACUGGUAGCAGAGCUGGUCAAAAGGGCAGAGGUCAUGCUGCAGGAUAAGGUAAAGGAAGAGGAUGCUAAUCAUAGCAAACUGCUGGACGAGGUGUGCGCUCAGCUGUAUGAAGAAGGGGCGCAGGCUCUCCACAAAGGCAGAGAAUUUUGCAGGUUGAAAGGGCCUGAGGCUGUGAGAGUGCUGCUGCCAGAGGAGACAUCAGCAGCAGUUUUGAACAGUGCAGAAGACAUUGCGGUGGGACUGGCUACUGAGAAGGCCUGCACCUGGCUGUCAACCAACAUCACAGCACUGAUCAAAAGAGAAGUGAGAACUACCUUUAAUCGGAUGUUGAGAGUCCAGGGUCCUUCCUUGUUCAGUGAGGACACACAGGGGGAGAGGAAAGGUUGUCCCCCCAACUGCCAGCAUCAUGCUCCGUUCCCCUCUCAGAUCAUCAAUGAGAUUAAAGAUGUGCUCUGUAUUGCUGUGGGACCCAGGGAUGAAGAUGAAGGAAUUCUCUAUGUCCAGCUGGAGUGCUUGCUGAAAAGACUGAGCCAAACGCUUCAGUGCAGAAAGUUCAUGUGUCCCACAUCGGAGCAGCAGCUGGCUAGGUGCACUGUAGAGUUGGCCUCUCUCCUCGUUUCAGAUCGUGUUCCUAUCCAGGGCCUUAAGCCUCAGACCCAGAAGAAACCUGAAACACAGCGAGGGAAGAAGAAUGCUGUCUAUGGCCUUCUGAAAUCGCUGCUGUUGGUUUGGAAGGAAGAUUUUUGGACACCUGUUCCUGUUCAGCUGAUGUUCAGCAGGAAGAAUGUCGGCUACAUCGCAGAAGUUGAGCAGCGUGAGUGGGAUUUGUUCCUUUUUAUGCUUCAUGGUCUUGUUGACCAUGGUCUGAUGGGAAAUGCAGAGAUAGAGAGCUGCUUGCAUAGCCUCCAGGAACUUCUCUGGUCCUCAGAUUUCUUGGAAGAAUUGGAAACUAUUUCUAGAAUAUUUAUAUCCGAGUAUCAUGUUGCAGAACCCAGGACUAGGCCUUGUGAAUUGGUGAGACAACCAAGAGGUACUGUGGCAGCACAAAGCUAGUGCAGACAAUCUCUGUAUGGAUUAAGAAACUGAGGAGAACUCGACAUGUGAAAUUUGAUAAUGCUGCUGAGUCCAUGCAGUAAGCCCCUUGCUUGGAUUGCAAUGCAUUGAAAGGUCACUUGUGUAAAAACUGCAUCAAACUUUUCCUCGAAGGAGGGUCACUAGGUGUGACAGGAACACACAUCCCUACAUCUGCAAAUGGAAAUGCUUCUAAAAGUUGCUCUCUAAGUUUGGAACUCUUAACCUGACUGUGGUUCACAGCUGAUGCUCUACACUUGUAGUGGAAACACAUCAUGUACUCCUGCAGCAAGAGGCUCUGAACAGCAUUUGGAAUCCGUUCUCGUGCACAAAACCUGCUACAUUGCUGGCGAGAUUUCUGGUGGUUUCCCAAGCACAGCAGUUUGCCUCAGCCAGACUGAAGAGCAAGUCUUAACUGUUUGCGUGUGAAUUAAGUGUAUACAACCAGUCAUGCCACAGUAGUAAGACCACACCUCCCCAUUGCCUAUUGUGGGAGGGUUGACAGGACAGUAUAUAACUGCCCCUCCACUUGGAGCACAGCUGAUGUUCUCCCAGUGUGAUUCCAAACAGAGGAGAGGAGCUGACUGAAAGAGUUAGUCCAGGACUGAACCUAUGGCUGAUGCUAGCAGAUGGAAGUGGUGGCUGAACUCUGCUGCUCUCUGUGGAAAGUGAAGAAGUUAAAGGAGACGUCUUUGAAAUGGAGAGGAAAAAAAUAUUCUAUUCAGGCUACUAUACCAUCUCCAUCACCGUGGUACCCAAGUACCUCACAGUAAUACAUUCAGCAAUGUGACUACUAUCAUGUGCAGCUUUCUCAAGGGGAAAAUUGAAUGUAGAUAUUUCAAAAUAAUCUGAGUGCUGUGCGAUGUGUUUAUAUCAGCAAUGGCAAAGAAGUGCAUCUUACUCUUGGAACACAAAAGGGAUGGGGAAGGUGGUGGUUCUUCAGCAUCUCACUUCCUAUAGCAACAAGAUGUAUACUUCGCUACAAGUUAUGAAAGGCACAAAAAUACUCUUUAAAAAAAAAAAAAGAGAGACUGCAAAGGGAACUGUGCCUUAAAACUGACUACCUUGAUAUCUAUCCAGUUCUGAAACGUCCGUCACAUGAUUCACUCCACAUAUAUAUUCAAUGACAUUAUUCUUAAAUGACCACUCUUAGAAUCUUGGGUUGUAUGUUGAUCCACCUGCAGCUGUUAAAGGUAGAUGUAAAUUAGAAUAGCCCUCAUGAUGCUCUAGAACAGCACAGGGGCUGUCACCAUGGAGAGACAACACCAGGACCUGGGCAGUGUCAAGGAAGAAUUUAAGGCUCCUCUCCACACCACCCCGAUUUGCACUCUGUUAAUUUAGUCCAAACUAAGGCUAUGGCCUAAUAUGUCAGGAUUUUCUUGGAUGAUCUCACCUAUUUUGUGCUGGUUUCACUGACUGUGCGUAAUGCACUCCUAAUGCUGCUGAAAAUAUUUAAAGAAAUAAGUAGCGGGCAGAGCUACUCAUGAGCUGGCAGAUACACUAAAGCAGAAUUCUACUACAAAAAGUUUAGCCCACAUUAGACUUCACUUCUUUUAAAAUAUGUGUGUUGACAUCUGCAUGUUCUCCUUUAGUUGUGUAGGCCUUAGUUGCAGAUUUUUUCAAACCUCAGUUGAAUACUGGAAACUAACAAGGUAAGACAGCAUGCUAGGGAAAAAGAUUUCAUUCCCUGCAGCUUUUCAAAGAGGAGAGGAUUAAAUCUGAACUGGAGAAUGUCCAUCAAAAUCAGUAACUGAAGAAGGGCUGAUAACUCAGAAGGGCUAAAAAUCAAGAAGGGCUGAUAACUUAGAAAUAACCAAAAGGCUAUUAAUACUUUUCACUAAAAUAGAGCUUCUUGUGAUACCGGUAUGUAUUAUUAAGAUAAGUAUUAUUAGGUCCAUUGUGCAAAUAGGUAGAUUGAAGAAGAAGAGGUAAAUCAGGAACAGAACUGAGAACAGAACCCAUUUAACUCUUAAUCUCUAACCACUCAUUCCAUAAAUGUAGCAAGGCAAGAUAGGAGGGAUUGCAAGAACUACUGAUGCACAUCUUGUUUGUAUCAUCUCUGCCCAUAAGACCACCCACUCAUAAUUAAGUUGCUAGUUUGGUUAAAGGGUAUCGAUACAUAUAUACGCAAAAUAGCUAUGCACACAAGUCAGUGUGUGUAUAAUGCAAUUUGCAAGUCUACACUUGAAAAUAUAGCCUCAAACUUCUUUGUUUCAAGGCAUUUAUACUCUGGUCCUCCUAUCUGAAUAUGUUGCGUUGUUACCUAUAUCCAAGUACUAACAUGGGAACUGUUUGUACAGUGCCUAGCAAAAUGAGAUUCUGGUCCCCUCACUGGGGCUCCUAACUUCUACGUGAAAUGUAAAUACAUAAAUAAAGUAAUAAUAAUACA